GUGGGGAAUAUUCCGCAAUGGACGAAAGUCUGACGGAGCAACGCCGCGUGAGUGAUGAAGGUUUUCGGACUGUAAAGCUCUGUUGUUUAGGACGAAAGUGCCUGUUGCAAAUAGUACAGGUAUUGACGGUACUGAACGAGGAAGCCACGGCUAACUACGUGCCAGCAGCCGCGGUAAUACGUAGGUGGCAAGCGUUGUCCGGAAUUAUUGGGCGUAAAGAGCAUGUAGGCGGGAAUCUAAGUCUGUUGUGAAAAUGCGGGGCUCAACCCCGUAUUGCGAUGGAAACUGGGUUUCUUGAGUGCAGGAGAGGAAAGGGGAAUUCCCAGUGUAGCGGUGAAAUGCGUAGAUAUUGGGAGGAACACCAGUGGCGAAGGCGCCUUUCUGGACUGUGUCUGACGCUGAGAUGCGAAAGCCAGGGUAGCGAACGGGAUUAGAUACCCGGGUAGUCC
rnacentral:rRNA from 1 species